GAUGAACGCUAGCGAUAGGCUUAACACAUGCAAGUCGAGGGGCAGCAUGGUCUUAGCUUGCUAAGACUGAUGGCGACCGGCGCACGGGUGCGUAACGCGUAUGCAACUUGCCUCACAGAGGGGGAUAACCCGUCGAAAGACGGACUAAUACCGCGUACACUCUAUUUUGGGCAUCCAAGGUAGAGGAAAUGAAAUUCGCUGUGAGAUAGGCAUGCGUCCCAUUAGCUAGUUGGUGAGGUAACGGCUCACCAAGGCGACGAUGGGUAGGGGAACUGAGAGGUGGAACCCCCACACUGGUACUGAGACACGGACCAGACUCCUACGGGAGGCAGCAGUGAGGAAUAUUGGUCAAUGGGCGAGAGCCUGAACCAGCCAAGUCGCGUGAAGGAUGACUGUCUUAUGGAUUGUAAACUUCUUUUGUAGGGGAAUAAAGAGGGGCACGUGUGCCCCAGUGAAUGUACCCUACGAAUAAGCAUCGGCUAACUCCGUG
rnacentral:rRNA from 1 species